rnacentral:ribozyme from 1 species
CUCCAAUUAUCGGCAGCGAGGACGGGUGCCCAUGCGGGAAAGGCAUGCGCGGGACAACAGCGGGGUGGAUUUCAAUAGCGAGGGUAGGGGGUAUAGAAGUUGAGGGGGG